CCUGAGAAACCCAAAAGAUCGAAUGGGGAGAUUCAUCGUCAGCGAUUCUGGCACGUGUGCGGUUCGCGAUGCCAGGGACUUCGGUCUCAUGGCACUCGUCCGUAUGGUUUUAUGCCAGAUGUCGUCGGCGUGCACUUCUCCCCUAGUAGGACGUCGCGACCCGUUGGGUGUCGGUCUACGGCCCGGGUGGGCGCCUGCCAUGUGCUACGCUUCACGGCGCGUCAUGCGGCAGACCCCCGGUUGCCUGGCCAGCUGCUCGGCGGUACUCGCACGGUAUCGAGCCGCAAAUAUUCGAACUGCGUCCGGCCCGUCGCAAGCGAGGCCAGUGUUUCCCGGAUGUACGGACCUAGCGCCGUCACCGGGCCUGGCCAGCUGUUGGUUGAUGGUGUCCUGGGACUGGCUCUAAAUUAUGAUACCGGUCGGCGACGCUACUGCUUUGGGUACUUUCAGGA
rnacentral:rRNA from 1 species